rnacentral:rRNA from 1 species
GAUGAACGCUGGCGGCGUGCCUAAUACAUGCAAGUCGAGCGAACAGACGAGGCUCUUGCUCCUCUGACGUUAGCGGCGGACGGGUGAGUAACACGUGUAUAACCUACCUAUAAGACUGGGAUAACUUCGGGAAACCGGAGCUAAUACCGGAUAAUAUAUUGAACCGCAUGGUUCAAUAGUGAAAGACGGUUUUGCUGUCACUUAUAGAUGGAUCCGCGCCGCAUUAGCUAGUUGGUAAGGUAACGGCUUACCAAGGCAACGAUGCGUAGCCGACCUGAGAGGGUGAUCGGCCACACUGGAACUGAGACACGGUCCAGACUCCUACGGGAGGCAGCAGUAGGGAAUCUUCCGCAAUGGGCGAAAGCCUGACGGAGCAACGCCGCGUGAGUGAUGAAGGUCUUCGGAUCGUAAAACUCUGUUAUUAGGGAAGAACAAAUGUGUAAGUAACUAUGCACGUCUUGACGGUACCUAAUCAGAAAGCCACGGCUAACUACGUG